AGGUUAGGUAAAUGUUCCAUGAUAAUGGGUUAGGUAAAUGUUUCAUGAUAAUGGGUUAGGUAAAUGUUUCAUGAUAAGAAUUUCAUGUCUUUUGUAUUAAAGAAUUAAAUGGAUGAAAUAUGAAGUUUUAUUAAAAGAAAAAGGGGUGAAAAGAACAAAGUUUUGUCCAUCUUUGUUCAUCAUAGCUGAAAGUUAGAGAAGAGAAAGCUCUUGAGUAUUUGGUCAUUAGGAGGAGGAAAAUUGAAGGCAGUUCGUGUGUGUGGAUCUCGUCAGCAUAUCGUUGCAAACAGGAAAUCCCCAACCAUAGUGGGCUU